rnacentral:rRNA from 1 species
CCUACGGGUGGCAGCAGUGGGGAAUAUUGGACAAUGGGCGAAAGCCUGAUCCAGCCAUGCCGCGUGUGUGAAGAAGGCCUUCGGGUUGUAAAGCACUUUCAGUGGGGAAGAAAGCCUUGGGGCUAAUACCCUCGAGGAAGGACAUCACCCACAGAAGAAGCACCGGCUAACUCCGUGCCAGCAGCCGCGGUAAUACGGAGGGUGCGAGCGUUAAUCGGAAUUACUGGGCGUAAAGCGCGCGUAGGCGGUCUGAUAAGCCGGUUGUGAAAGCCCCGGGCUCAACCUGGGAACGGCAUCCGGAACUGUGGGGCUAGAGUGCAGGAGAGGAAGGUAGAAUUCCCGGUGUAGCGGUGAAAUGCGUAGAGAUCGGGAGGAAUACCAGUGGCGAAGGCGGCCUUCUGGACUGACACUGACGCUGAGGUGCGAAAGCGUGGGUAGCAAACAGGAUUAGAUACCCCAGUAGUC